rnacentral:lncRNA from 1 species
GAAGUAUUCUCCUAUUGGGGGCUGGCUAGGAGACAGGGGAGUCUGAACAUUCUGAGGGAGGCGCAGGAUUCUAGAGGCUCCGAGUCUUUCCUGGAAUCUUUUAUGUGAGGUACCCCCAGAGAGAGGAGCAGCCUUCUCACCCUGGCCUCUGCAGGGUGGCCAUCCCGGUGUCUCUGCUAGAGAAGAAACCUGGCUUACUGAGCCUUGGACAGUGUCUCUUACGCUAGGACACAUCAUGGUCCCUGGAGAGCAGCUACCAGGAGCACAGAUUGUUGUGAAAGCAUUUUAAUGACUGGGUCCAUUCAUAAUGCAGCUGCUGCAGCCCCAGAAACUCAGACAACGGGCAAUACGAUGGAGUCUAUACUAUUAUAAAUAUUUGAUCUCCUAAGACAAUAUUACCGUAAAUAUUAUUUGCUACCCUGAAAAGCUUCAAGCUCAUAGUUUAAAUUUCCCCCAUUAGGAGCCUAAUGAAGAGGAUUUCAAAGUGCACUCUCUGCGGGCAGGGCUUCCUGGUAGGCUCCAUGCUGGGGAGGGAGGGUAAAUGCAGGCCGGGUGGUGCUGGCUCUGGGCGAGG